CAAAUUCCACUGUCGAACAGCUCUUACUGUCAGGAAGUUCUUCCUAAUGUUUAGGUGGAAUCUUCUUUCUUGUAGUCUGGAUCCAUUGCUCCGUGUCCGCUUCUCUGCAGCAGAAGAAAACAACCUUUCUCCUUCCUCUAUGUGACAUCCUUUUAUAUAUUUGAACAUGGCUAUCAUAUCACCCCUUAACCUCCUCUUCUCCAGGCUAAACAUGCCCAGCUCCCUUAGCUGUUCCUCAUAAGGCUUCAUUUCCAGGCCUUUGACCAUUUUGGUUGCCCUCCUCUGGACACGUUCCAGUUUGUCAGUGUCCUUCUUGAACUGUGGUGCCCAGAACUGGACACAGUACUCCAGGUGAGGUCUGACCAGAGCAGAAUACAGUGGCACUAUUACUUCCCUUGAUCUAGAUGCUAUACUCCUAUUGAUGCAGCCCAGAAUUGCAUUGGCUUUUUUAGCUGCCGCGUCACACUGUUGGCUCAUGUCAAGUUUGUGGUCAACCAAGACUCCUAGAUCCUUUUCACAUGUACUGCUCUCAAGCCAGGUGUCACCCAUCCUGUAUUUGUGCCUCUCAUUUUUUUUGCCCAAGUGCAAUACUUUACAUUUCUCCUGUUAAAGUUCAUCUUGUUUGUUUUGGCCCAGUUCUCUAAUCUGUCAAGGUCGUUUUGAAGUGUGAUCCUGUCCUCUGGGGUGUUAGCCACCCCUCCCAGUUUGGUGUCAUCUGCAAAUUUGAUCAGGAUGCCCUUGAGUCCAUCAUCCAAGUCGUUGAUAAAGAUGUUGAAUAAGACCGGGCCCAAGACAGAACCCUGUGGCACCCCACUAGUCACUCUUCUCCAGGAUGAAGAGGAACCAUUGAUGAGCACCCUUUGGGUUCGGUCAGUCAGCCAGUUACAAAUCCACUGAGUGGUAGCAUAGUCAAGACCGCAUUUUACCAGCUUCUUUACAAGAAUAUCAUGGGGCACCUUGUCAAAUGCCUUGCU